rnacentral:rRNA from 1 species
UACGGGGGGGGCAAGCGUUGUUCGGAAUUACUGGGCGUAAAGGGCUCGUAGGUGGCCAACUAAGUCAGACGUGAAAUCCCUCGGCUUAACCGGGGAACUGCGUCUGAUACUGGAUGGCUUGAGUUUGGGAGAGGGAUGCGGAAUUCCAGGUGUAGCGGUGAAAUGCGUAGAUAUCUGGAGGAACACCGGUGGCGAAGGCGGUGGUCUGGGCCGGAACUGACGCUGAGGAGCGAAAGCGUGGGGAGCGAACAGG